GGAUUGUGUUCCUGAAUAUUUUGCGUUUGGAAUAACGGUCUUCUUUGCCAGGGCUGAGCCAUGCUUCCCUCUCGCCUGUCCUCUGCCUUCACCAGCUUCGUGUGCGCUUCCGGACAAGUGUUUGUGCAGGUGCUAUCACUUAUUUCCACAGCGAGAAUAUACACAGACACCACACAGAAAUGGGCAACCCCGUUAGGAGCUGUGCAGGGAGAUCUAACUCAUCCCAUGUGCCAAAUUCCUGUUGCCAUGGAAAUUAAACUAACUAAACUAACGUUGCUAUGAUCUCAUCUCUUACUGUACCACUAAAGAUCAUCCGGGUAAGAGGAAUGUGCCUCUGCAUAGCAUUCAGCUCACAUUUACAUGUCGGUUUUUCCUGAAUAUGGUUAUGUGAGAUAGAAAUCAGUAAGAUGGGGUGUAACAUACAGUAUAGGAUCGUUGUGUCUCCUAGCCUCAAACACUUCAAGAUCCUCAGAAAAUGAAGUUUAACUCUGGGGACGUGAGUUACAUAGUAACUUGUUUUGGAUACUAUCAUAUCAACACCAAAUAACUUCUUGAAUUCCUUUUUAAAUUGAAAAGCAAUUUACAAAGCACAAAAGCCCCAAUAUUAAAGAAUACAAUUCAGUCUUUUUAGCAUAUUCUAAAAGCUGCACAUCAACCACUAGUAUGUAAUUCCGGGACUUUUUCACCACAGGCCAAAGAAACCUUGAACCCAUUAAGAGUCAGCACCUGGCUCCUUCCUUCUACCAGCCCCUGGCAAUCACCAGCCAACUUCCUUUUCUCUGGAUUUGCCCAUUCUGGACACCUGUUGUGAGGAGAAUCGUACAGUGCAUGACCUUUGGUGUGACCUUCGGUGCUGACAUCUUUCACGUCUAAGGCCACACCUGCAAAUACCUCCAUCUGAAGUGGCAUCUUUUGUAAGUCAUUCUUUAUAUAAAGGCGGCCGUUAGUGGAAGAAGUGGUUCUGCAGGUUCAUAGCUCAGAGGCACCAGUGCUCUCCCAAGAGAUAACCAUAAAAUCCACAGAAGACGCACCUGUGCGCACUUCCUGUUCUCACUCAGAACAUUCCAGAAGGAACCCUGAAUCCCAAUGCCACAGCGGGACUGAAGUUUGCUCUCACCCACACAAUAAACCCAGGGAGCUCCCCCAGCCCCCACCCCGA